UCGGUUGAUCCUGCCGGACCUGACUGCUAUCGGAUUGAUACUAAGCCAUGCGAGUCAUUGUAGUAAUACAAGGCAGACGGCUCAGUAACGCGUAGUCAACCUACCCUAUGGACGGGGAUAACCUCGGGAAACUGAGAAUAAUACCCGAUAGAACAUUAUGCCUGGAAUGGUUUAUGUUUCAAAUAAUUUAUUGCCGUAGGAUGGGACUGCGGCCUAUCAGUUUGUUGGUGAGGUAAUGGCCCACCAAGACUAUUACAGGUACGGGCUCUGAGAGGAGUAGCCCGGAGAUGGGUACUGAGACACGGACCCAGGCCCUAUGGGGCGCAGCAGGCGAGAAAACUUUGCAAUGUGCGAAAGCACGACAAGGUUAAUCCGAGUGGUUUCUGCUAAAGGAACCUUUUGUCAGUCCUAGAAACACUGAUGAAUAAGGGGUGGGCAAGUUCUGGUGUCAGCCGCCGCGGUAAAACCAGCACCUCAAGUGGUCAGGAUGAUUAUUGGGCCUAAAGCAUCCGUAGCCUGCUUUGUAAGUUUUCGGUUAAAUCCAUACGCUCAACGUAUGGGCUGCCGGGAAUACUGCAAAGCUAGGGAGUGGGAGAGGUAGACGGUACUCGGUAGGAAGGGGUAAAAUCCUUUGAUCUAUUGAUGACCACCUGUGGCGAAGGCGGUCUACCAGAACACGUCCGACGGUGAGGGAUGAAAGCUGGGGGAGCAAACCGGAUUAGAUACCCGGGUAGUCCCAGCUGUAAACUAUGCAAACUCAGUGAUGCAUUGGCUUGAUGCCAAUGCAGUGCUGCAGGGAAGCCGUUAAGUUUGCCGCCUGGGAAGUACNUACGCAAGUAUGAAACUUNAAAGGAAUUGGCGGG
rnacentral:rRNA from 1 species